CAGUAGCCACGGGAAUACGGAGGGGGUUAGCGUUGUUCGGAAUUACUGGGCGUAAAGCGCACGUAGGCGGCUUUGUAAGUUAGAGGUGAAAGCCCGGAGCUCAACUCCGGAAUUGCCUUUAAGACUGCAGAGCUAGCAGGUGAGAGAGGUGAGUGGAAUUCCGAGUGUAGAGGUGAAAUUCGUAGAUAUUCGGAAGAACACAAGUGGCAAAGGCGGCUCACUGGACGACUGUUGACGCUGAGGUACGAAAGCGUGGGGAGCAAACAGGAUUAGAUACCCCCGUAGUCCCUGUCUCUUAUAC
rnacentral:rRNA from 1 species